rnacentral:tRNA from 1 species
UGAGAAAUAGUAUAAAUAAAUAUUCUUCAUUUACAUUGAAGAGAUGACGGAGUGUCUUUUUUAA